UACGUAGGGUGCGAGCGUUGUCCGGAAUUAUUGGGCGUAAAGAGCGUGUAGGCGGCUUGGCAAGUCUGACGUGAAAGCCCGCGGCUCAACCGCGGAUUGUCGUUGGAAACUGCCUCGCUAGAGUCCGGAAGAGGAGAGCGGAAUUCCUGGUGUAGCGGUGGAAUGCGCAGAUAUCAGGAAGAACACCCGUGGCGAAGGCGGCUCUCUGGGACGGUACUGACGCUGAGACGCGAAAGCGUGGGGAGCGAACAGG
rnacentral:rRNA from 1 species